GGAUUCCCCUAGUAACUGCGAGUGAAGCGGGAAAAGCUCAAAUUUAAAAUCUGUCAGUCUUUGGCUGUCCGAGUUGUAAUCUAGAGAAGUGUUAUCUGCGCUGGACCAUGUAUAAGUCUCCUGGAAUGGAGCGUCGUAGAGGGUGAGAAUCCCGUCUUUGACAUGGACUGCCAGGGCUUUGUGAUGCGCUCUCAAAGAGUCGAGUUGUUUGGGAAUGCAGCUCAAAAUGGGUGGUAAAUUCCAUCUAAMGCUAWAUAUUGGCGAGAGACCGAUAGCGAACAAGUACCGUGAGGGAAAGAUGAAAAGAACUUUGGAAAGAGAGUUAAACAGUACGUGAAAUUGCUGAAAGGGAAACGCUUGAAGUCAGUCGCGUUGUCUAGGGAUCAACCUUGCUUUUGCUUGGUGUACUUUCUGGUUGACGGGUCAGCAUCAAUUUUGACUAUUGGAAAAAGAUUAAGGGAAUGUGGCAUCUUUGGAUGUGUUAUAGCCUUUGGUUGCAUACAAUGGUUGGGAUUGAGGAACUCAGCACGCCGCAAGGCCAGGUUUUUAACCAUGUACGUGCUUAGGAUGCUGGCAUAAUGGCUUUAAUCGACCCGUCUUGAAACACGGACCAAGGAGUCUAACAUGCCUGCGAGUGUUUGGGUGGAAAACCCGAGCGCGCAAUGAAAGUGAAAGUUGAGAUCCCUGUCAUGGGGAGCAUCGACGCCCGGACCAGACCUUUUGUGACGGUUCCGCGGUAGAGCAUGUAUGUUGGGACCCGAAAGAUGGUGAACUAUGCCUGAAUAGGGUGAAGCCAGAGGAAACUCUGGUGGAGGCUCGUAGCGAUUCUGACGUGCAAAUCGAUCGUCAAAUUUGGGUAUAGGGGCGAAAGACUAAUCGAAACAUCUAGUAGCUGUUCCUGCGAU
rnacentral:rRNA from 1 species